rnacentral:rRNA from 1 species
AAUUUACUUUAUUAAAAGGAGUUUUUAAUUUUUGAUUAACUUUGGUUUAAUAAUGGAAAUUUCAUGGGGAUGAGCUGGUGAAAUAAACUUAAAUUUUAUUUAUUUUAUUGAUGAGUAGUAGGGUUAAUAUUUUCUUUCUUUUUAGUAUGUUAUAAUUUAUUAUUGUUUAAUUAUUAUUUUUUUUUAAUUAAGUUUUUUAUAAGAAUGUUUAGAUUAAUUUUUAUUUUUCAUUAAUAAUUAUGUAAUUAGUAAAGUUGUUUUUAAAUUUAAUAUUUCUUGAAAGGUAAGUUUAAGGAAUUCGGCAAAUAGUUUUUCGCCUGUUUAAUAAAAACAUGGUCUUUUGAUUUUGAUUUAAGAUUUAACCUGCCCACUGAAGAUUUGAAUGGCCGCGGUAAUUUGACCGUGCGAAGGUAGCAUAAUCAAUAGUUUUUUAAUUGGAAGCUGGUAUGAAUGGUUGGACGAGAAAACUUCUGUCUCAAAUUUAAUUUUUUUUGAAUUUUAUUUUUGAGUCAAAAAGCUUAAAUUUAGUUAAAAGACGAGAAGACCCUAUAGAGUUUAAUUUUAUAACUUUUUGUUAUUUAAGAAUAUUGUUUUAAGUUAUUAAAUUUUGUUGGGGUGACAUUAAGAUUAAUUAAACUCUUAAAUAAAUAUUUCAUUAAUUUUUGUUUUUCUUGAUCCUUUUUUUUGAUUAAUAGAUUUAAUUACCUUAGGGAUAACAGCGUUAUUUUUCUUGAGAGCUCUUAUCGAAAGAAAAGAUUGCGACCUCGAUGUUGGAUUAAAAUAAAC